UACGUAGGGCGCAAGCGUUAAUCGGAAUUACUGGGCGUAAAGCGUGCGCAGGCGGUUAUGCAAGACAGAGGUGAAAUCCCCGGGCUCAACCUGGGAACUGCCUUUGUGACUGCAUAGCUAGAGUACGGUAGAGGGGGAUGGAAUUCCGCGUGUAGCAGUGAAAUGCGUAGAUAUGCGGAGGAACACCGAUGGCGAAGGCAAUCCCCUGGACCUGUACUGACGCUCAUGCACGAAAGCGUGGGGAGCAAACAGG
rnacentral:rRNA from 1 species